rnacentral:rRNA from 1 species
GGCUUAAUUUGACUCAACGCGGGAAAUCUUACCGGGUCCGGACACACUGAGGAUUGACAGAUAUAUACCCCGUGAUUUUAUCGCGGGGUUGAAAGAUGCUAGUUCUUUCAUGAUUAUGUGAUAGGUGGUGCAUGGCCGUUCUUAGUUCGUGGAGUGAUCUGUCUGCUUAAUUGCGUAUCAAUAAUAGAGACCUAGUAUACGCGUAGACUCAUGCGGUAGUGACCCCCCUUCACAGGGCGCGUGUCGCACGUAUGUUAUACGCACAGGUCUCCGAUAGCAACGAACGUGACCGUACUCUAUUGUUGCAGCGACAAUACCUUUCAACGGGUAUUACCGCUGCUUAGCAAGAUUCGUCUUGCAUUAAACUAUAGAGACCGCUGUUUCUUCUUUAAACCAGAGGAAGGAUACGGCAAUAACAGGUCUGUGAUG